AAGAAUUGCAAUUGAGCUACUUUCGAUUUUUUUUUUAAGCUUUUUGCCUUUUUCUUUGUUCAACCUUAUAAAUGCAGAAAUGCUUGUAGCUUUAAUUGGCUACUUGCACACCUGACACUUGAGCACUCUGUCCCAGCUAGACUGGGAUCCUGACAAGGAGACCCCGCCGCCGCCGCCGCCAAGUCGUUUCAGUCGUGUCCGACUCUGUGCGACCCCACGGACUGCAGCCUACCAGGCUUCUCCGUCCAUGGGAUUCUCCAGGCAAGAACACUGGAGUGGGUUGCCAUUUCCUUCUCCAAGGAGACCCCAGCUUAUGCCAAAUCUUCACCAGGGAUUGAACUCAUGCUUCCUAUAUUGGGAACAUAGAGUCUUAAUCACUGGACCACCGGGGAAGUCUGACACAUUGAUUGCAGUCUUUUGAAAGACCCUGAGGCAGAG
ensembl:lncRNA